rnacentral:rRNA from 1 species
AAUAGAUACCCAGGUAGUCCACGCCGUAAACUAUGGAUGCUAGCUGUUAGAAGUAUCGACCCUUCUAGUAGCGAAGCUAACGCGUUAAGCAUCCCGCCUGUGGAGUACGAGCGCAAGCUUAAAACAUAAAGGAAUUGACGGGGACCCGCACAAGCGGUGGAGCGUGUUGUUUAAUUCGAUGAUAAGCGAAGAACCUUACCCAGGCUGACAUCCUUGGAAUUUUGCCGAAAGGCGAGAGUGCUUUAUUGAACCAAGUGACAGGUGAUGCAUGGCCGUCGUCAGCUCGUGUCGUGAGAUGUUUGGUUAAGUCCAUCAACGAGCGCAACCCUUGUAGUUAGUUGUAUUUUCUAGCUAGACUGCCCUGGCAACAGGGAGGAAGGAGGGGAUGAUGUCAGGUCAGUAUUUCCCUUACGUCUGGGGCUACAAACACGCUACAAUGGCCGGUACAAAGGGCAGCCAACCCGCGAGGGGGAGCAAAUCUCAUCAAAGCCGGUCUCAGUUCGGAUUGUAGGCUGAAACUCG